CACAAGACGCUAGGGAUGCGGUGAUCUCAUUUUUGUGUUUGUGUACAAUAUGAUCAAUUUUCGAUAAAAAUGCGAGGUGAAAGAGUUUUUUUACACUGUGCAGCUUAAGUGUUGUGGCCGUAUCUGGUGAAAAUCUCUGUGAUUCAAGGGUGAAAGAUCUCAUUUGAAACAAACGGUGUUGAGAGGAACUCCCAUGCAACAUCAACACACCAAACUGUGCCGCUGUUUGUGAGAUUUAGGCCUAGUACUUGUCAUCUGAGACUUCUGUUGAAAAGUGGUUGUUAAAUACAAAAUAAUAGCAGUUAAAGACACCACUUUCUGAAAUGACUGAAAUAAUAUUGAACUGCCUCAUCCCAAAGUAAAAAUACAUCUCAGCACGUGCAGUGUUCAGAAAAGUCUCUGGUAAGUAAAAU